rnacentral:rRNA from 1 species
UCAGCGGCAGACGGGUGAGUAACGCGUGGGAACGUACCAUUUGCUACGGAAUAACUCAGGGAAACUUGUGCUAAUACCGUAUGAGCCCCCCUUUAAAAUUUCAGGAAUCAUAAAAUGCCCUGGCAUUUUAUGGGGGGGAAAGAUUUAUCGGCAAAUGAUCGGCCCGCGUUGGAUUAGCUAGUUGGUGGGGUAAAGGCCUACCAAGGCGACGAUCCAUAGCUGGUCUGAGAGGAUGAUCAGCCACACUGGGACUGAGACACGGCCCAGACUCCUACGGGAGGCAGCAGUGGGGAAUAUUGGACAAUGGGCGCAAGCCUGAUCCAGCCAUGCCGCGUGAGUGAUGAAGGCCCUAGGGUUGUAAAGCUCUUUCACCGGUGAAGAUAAUGACGGUAACCGGAGAAGAAGCCCCGGCUAACUUCGUGCCAGCAGCCGCGGUAAUACGAAGGGGGCUAGCGUUGUUCGGAUUUACUGGGCGUAAAGCGCACGUA